GCUAACGCAUUAAAUAGACCGCCUGUGGAGUACCGGCCGCAAGGUUAAAACUCAAAUGAAUUGACGGGGGCCCGCACAAGCGGUGGAGCAUGUGGUUUAAUUCGAUGCAACGCGAAGAACCUUACCAUCCCUUGACAUCCAGAGAAUCUGUUAGAGAUAGUAGAGUGCCUUCGGGAACUCUGAGACAGGUGCUGCAUGGCUGUCGUCAGCUCGUGUUGUGAAAUGUUGGGUUAAGUCCCGCAACGAGCGCAACCCUUAUCCUUAUUUGCCAGCGGGUUAUGCCGGGAACUCUAUGGACACUGCCGGUGAUAAACCGGAGGAAGGUGGGGACGACGUCAAGUCAUCAUGGCCCUUACGGGAUGGGCUACACACGUGCUACAAUGGCAAAUACAAAGGGCAGCUAACCAGCGAUGGUAUGCGAAUCUCCUAAAGUUUGUCGUAGUCCGGAUCGGAGUCUGCAACUCGACUCCGUGAAGUUGGAAUCGCUAGUAAUCGUGGAUCAGAAUGCCACGGUGAAUACGUUCCCGGGCCUUGUACACACCGCCCGUCACACCAUGGGAGUGGGCUGCACCAGAAGUCAUUAGCUUAACCUUCGGGAUGGCGAUGACCACGGUGUGGUCA
rnacentral:rRNA from 1 species